UGGAGCUCAAAGCCAGCCAUCAACGAGUGUUUCCAACUCAAAUGUUGGACCUGACAUUUUUACAAGAUUGAAGAUAUCAAGCUACGCGUGAAGCUAUAAGUUCUAGAUGGUCUAGGUGAAAAAUCAAGACCAAACAUCUCUUUAGGAGCUCGUCCUGGCUUCAUCAAUCCGGUUAAUUUUGCUAUCAGGUAAGCACUAUCUGCAAUGUGGUUCAUAUCAUCUGUCUUGUUCCACAAACGCUGAACCAACUGGAACCUCCUAUGUUUGCUGUUAAUCCGAAUGCCCCACUUAAGGUACAGGCUUUCUCGUUCUUCUUCUGUUAGCUUCCUCAACAUUUGCUUGCGCAGCAUUCGUCUCUCUUGACGAAGGUCUUUCAUACUUUGUGCAAGGGACAGAAUCCUGCCAUUGACCUCUGUUUUCUCUCCAUGCGAAUAUGUG
rnacentral:misc_RNA from 1 species